AUACGUAGGGGGCGAGCGUUGUCCGGAAUGAUUGGGCGUAAAGGGCGCGUAGGCGGCGCGGUAAGUCUGGAGUGAAAGUCCUGCUUUCAAGGUGGGAAUUGCUUUGGAUACUGCCGCGCUUGAGUGAAGGAGAGGUUAUCGGAAUUCCCGGUGUAGCGGUGAAAUGCGUAGAGAUCGGGAGGAACACCAGUGGCGAAGGCGGGUAACUGGACUGCAACUGACGCUGAGGCGCGAAAGUGUGGGGAGCAAACAGGAUUAGAUACCCUGGUAGUCCACACUGUAAACGAUGAAUGCUAGGUGUAAGAGGUAUCGACCCCUUUUGUGCCGGAGUCAACACAAUAAGCAUUCCGCCUGGGGAGUACGGCCGCAAGGUUGAAACUCAAAGGAAUUGACGGGG
rnacentral:rRNA from 1 species